rnacentral:rRNA from 1 species
UACAGAGGGUGCGAGCGUUAAUCGGAAUGACUGGGCGUAAAGGGUGCGCAGGCGGUUGGUCAAGACGGAUGUGAAAGCCCCGGGCUUAACCUGGGAGUGUCAUUCGUGACUGACGAACUAGAAUAUGGCAGAGGGAGGCGGAAUUCCACAUGUAGCAGUGAAAUGCGUAGAGAUGUGGAGGAACACCGAUGGCGAAAGCAGCGUGCUGGACCUUUUCUGACGCUGAGGCGCGAAAGCCAGGGGAGCAAACGGG